rnacentral:rRNA from 1 species
UAUCUCUGUAGAGUCUGCAUAUCAAUAAGCGGAGGAAAAGAAACUAACUAGGAUUCCCUCAGUAACGGCGAGUGAAGCGGGAAGAGCUCAAAUUUGAAAUCUUCAAGGUUCUACCUUGACGAAUUGUAGUUUAAAGAAGUGUUUUCUGUUGAAGUUUCGGUAAAAGUUCUUUGGAAUAGGACAUCAUAGAGGGUGAGAAUCCCGUAUUUGACCAGUUAUUUCCAGCUGUGUGAUACACUUUCAAAGAGUCGGAUUGUUUGGGAAUGCAGUCCAAAAUGGGUGGUAAAUUUCAUCUAAAGCUAAAUAUUGGCGAGAGACCGAUAGCGAACAAGUACCGUGAGGGAAAGAUGAAAAGAACUUUGAAAAGAGAGUUAAACAGUACGUGAAAUUGUCAAAAGGGAAGCGUUUGACACCAGUGUUGUUUUCUCGAAAAUCAAUUAAAAAUGGCAUGAUUUUGUGUUGUAUUGACCUUAAUCAGCUUUCUUCACUCUUUUCAUUGUCUUUUUUAAUGCACUUUUCGUUUAACAAGUCAACAUCAGUUUCUUUUGUUGUAAAAGGGUCAUUGGAAGGUGGCUUUCUUUUCGGAGAAAGUGUUUAUAGCCUUUGCCUCUGCAAUCGGAGAGAUUGAGGUCUGCAGCGUAGAUCCUUCUGGAUUAGAUACAUUUGUGCUAAGUUAUAACCGUUUCAUAGACAACUUGUUGACUAUAUCGAUCAUGUAGCUUACUCGCUUAUGCUAAUUUUACCUACGCUUAGGAUGUUGAUAUGCAUGACUGAUAU